AAUAUUCCAAAAUAGAAAAUAUUCUAAAAGUUUCUCCUCCUAUAUUUUAGAACUAUAUCAGCCGCCACACAACCCUCAUUUACAAUCUUCUCCAAUCAAUCAUUGCCUAAAUUGAAAGCCACCAAAUGCCACCACUAUCAGCCAGCUUCAACGAGAAUUCUGGAGAACCACCUUGACAGACCUCCAAACGAACCUCCAUUUUUCAGAUCCAAACGCACACCACAAACUCCGAAGACCUCAGAUCCCUUCACCCUUUUUUACGACAAUAUACGAAACCCCAAAACCCCAAUUGUUCGUCUCCUUUUUAUAUAUUCCAAUCCUAACACCAACAGAACAAAAAGUAGCACACUAGACCAAAAUCCAAGCUCCACCUGAGACCACCAUAGAACAACAAACUAUCGCCCCCCUCUUUCCCUUCAAGCUCCAUCACCAGCUCAUGAUUAAUGCACCAGCCAACUUUACGGAAAGCUCAACCAACAUUCGGACCUCCGCGUAAAACCUCACUAAACCAGAUCUCACAAUAAAUCUGAGCAACCAUGAAGACAACAUUGAGUUCCGUCAAUCAGGUUCCGGUUGUCCUGCUGUAGAUGUGCUGGCUGUAGCUGCAUUUAAACAAACAUUUUUAUGGGUUUUAUUGAUUUUCCCAUUGUCUCCUUUUAGCUCUGGCUGUUUUCUGUCUGCCGAACGACGUAGCUCCGCAUGUUUAUAGUCAUGCUGCUAACUUAUAUUUUUUUAUCUUUUGUAACUCUUUGUCUAUACUAUCCACUUUCGUAGAAAGUAUAGUAAUGACUUUGAGUAUUUCUUCCAUCGUAUGUUUUUCUGGUUCAGUUGGGGUUCCUUUUUCUUCAUAGAUAGUCUGCAACAAGAUUUUUGUCAGUCUUAAUUACUUCAAUUGUAAAUAUAUAAUUUAAUAUAUGUAAUAUUUAUCUCCUUAUUUCUUUUGUUGUAACUGAAUCUUCUAACUUUUUUGUUAUCCACCAUUUUACCUGUG